rnacentral:rRNA from 1 species
UCAGUCGACUCCUACGGGGAGGCAGCAGUGGGGGAAUAUUGCACAAUGGGCGCAAGCCUGAUGCAGCCAUGCCGCGUGUAUGAAGAAGGCCUUCGGGUUGUAAAGUACUUUCAGCAGUGAGGAAGGCAGGUACGUUAAUAGCGUGCUUGUUUGACGUUAGCUGCAGAAGAAGCACCGGCUAACUCCGUGCCAGCAGCCGCGGUAAUACGGAGGGUGCGAGCGUUAAUCGGAAUUACUGGGCGUAAAGCGCAUGCAGGUGGUUUGUUAAGUCAGAUGUGAAAGACCCGGGGCUCAACCUCGGAAUUGCAUUUGAAACUGGCAGACUAGAGUACUGUAGAGGGGGGUAGGAAUUUCAGGUGUAGCGGUGAAAUGCGUAGAGAUCUGAAGGAAUACCGGUGGCGAAGGCGGCCCCCUGGACAGAUACUGACACUCAGAUGCGAAAGCGUGGGGAGCAAACAGGAUUAGAUACCCUGGUAG